AUGGAUGUCCUAUCAAUGGUGCUGGAUUCUGUCAAGAUCUUAUAUAUCCAAAUGAAUAGUUUUGAUCUGAACAAGAUUAUUGGCUUGCUGCAAUGCUUUCCAUGUCUGGAGAAGUUGUAUAUAAAGGCAACAGGAUGGGGUAAGAAAAUUAUAACCAAUUGGUGGAUUCAUAAGCAUCGGGAUUUUCUCACUUCUCAUGAGAUUCGAUUGAAGACAAUAAUGCUAGAACGAUAUGUAGCCAACCGUGCAAACACAAGAUUUGUCACAUUCAUCCUGCUGAAUGCGAGGUUACUAUUGUCCAUCAGGCUUAAGUUUAUCAGCAGCAUGGUUUUGACGGAUGGGUAUGUCGAAGAGCAAAAAAAGGAGUUUCAGGUGGGCAAAAGAGCUUCUAAACGUGUCGGGCUUCUAUUUACAACAUAUUGUGGUCAUAAUCCAGUAAAUUUUACGACCCAGGAUGUUCAUUCUAUGGACCUGACCGAUCCAUUUGACUGUGACUGCCGAAAACAGUGCUGGAGUUAG
rnacentral:rRNA from 1 species